rnacentral:rRNA from 1 species
AUUGAACGCUGGCGGCAGGCCUAACACAUGCAAGUCGAACGGUAACAGAAAGCAGCUUGCUGCUUUGCUGACGAGUGGCGGACGGGUGAGUAAUGUCUGGGAAACUGCCUGAUGGAGGGGGAUAACUACUGGAAACGGUAGCUAAUACCGCAUAACGUCGCAAGACCAAAGAGGGGGACCUUCGGGCCUCUUGCCAUCGGAUGUGCCCAGAUGGGAUUAGCUAGUAGGUGGGGUAACGGCUCACCUAGGCGACGAUCCCUAGCUGGUCUGAGAGGAUGACCAGCCAAACGGGACUGGAGACACGGCCCAGCCUCCUACGGGAGGCGGCAGGGGGGAAUUUUGCACAAGGGGCGCAAGCCUGAUGCAGCCAUGCCGCUGGAAUGAAGAGGGCUUUGGGGUUGAAAAUUACUUUCGGGGGGGAGGAAGGGAGAAAAGUAAAUACUUUUGCUCUUGAACUUACCCCAAAAAAAAAGCCCCGGCAAACCCCGUG